CCUUUUUAUUAUUACCUCAUAAUUUUCUUAAUGAUGUUCAUAAGUUAUUAACAGUUUGUUACCCCUUUUUUAUUAUUACCUCAUAAUUUUUUGUAUUGAUGUUCAUCAGUCUUUAGGACCACCUAGAGGAAAUAGUUUUCUGACUUUGGGAGUUGCUACUUUCUGCUUGCAUUUUUGUAUGCACAUUUCCCUUAAAAGAUUUUUAUUUACGUGCUUGAAGUGUUAUUAGAAUCUCUAGUUGAAAACAUAUUUCCAAUUUUAUUUAUUGAAGUACUUGAAGAUAUUUUUGUUGUUAAUAAAUGGUUUCAUCAUAAAGAAAAAAUCAUACAUCCUCGUGUUUGGGGUGAAUGAGUAGGUUGGUGGGAAUCCAUACUUGAGUUGAGCUAUUGAUGUUAGUGAAUCAAAUCGAACUAUUUUGAAAUAAAAAUACAAAUGACUUAAGAGUAUGACUUAAUGCUCUACUUGAUCUUCUUGUAUGUAACAUGUGCGUGUAUAAGUUCAAACUUUAUUUUUUUAGUGUUAACUUUUUUACCUCUUUUCGUGCUAGGCAACUCAGGAAGCUCAACAUAUAAUAAAGUUGAUACAACAUUAUAUUGCUUCUUUCAUCAAAGUUGGAGAUAAGAAAUAUUAUGUCUGGGCUCCCGAUCAUGAGGAAGAAGUUCAAGCAAACUUUAAGGUUAAAGCUUCAAAGCUGUUGUCUAGCACAUUUAGUGAAUGUCGAAAAAAUAAUAGAAUUUCUUACUUUAUGGUACCAAAUCGAUGGGAUCUAUUAAUGGAACAUUGUGAUAUUGAUGAAAACUUUAUAAAGAGGAGUGUGAUUGGGAAGAUGGCUCGCGCAUCAGAAAAGGCUCUUUGCACAGCGGUGGAGCUAUUAGCCUAAUUUCUAGGAAGGAAAGAAUGGAAAAAGAGUUGGGUAGGUCGGUAGUUGUAGAAGAGAUGCUCAAGGUUACUCAUGUCAAGAAGAGUACGAAUCCCGAAGAAGAAGAAAGAUGGAUUGAGCCACGUGCAAGAGAUAUAUGUUUAUACGAAUGUCUCAGGAAUACCGUAGUACUCUACUUCUUGAGAGCCGGGAUAGAUCAUUUACACAAGAAGAAAGUGAGAAUCGUGAAAUAUUCUUCCUCCAUGUCCCGCAAGUAGUGAUGAUGGAGCUAAUCAGGAGGGUGAUGAGAAUGAUAAGGGUGAUAAGGAGAGUAUCGGUGAUAACGAAUAGUUGCAUUGGUGUGACAUUUUAGACUGCUAUAUUUUUGGAUUGUUUGAUCAUUUUAGUUUAAUUUGAAGUUGGAUGAAGUUUAUUUUGAAAUAGUUUAAUGUAUAUUUUGAAAAUACUGUGUUGUUUUGGUUGGAUGAUGUUUAUUUUAAAAUAGCUCAUUUGAAAUUCUUUGAGUUG